GGGUUGUGAGGUUAAGCGACUAAGCGUACACGGUGGAUGCCCUGGCAGUCAGAGGCGAUGAAGGGCGUGCUAAUCUGCGAUAAGCGCCGGUAAGGUGAUAUGAACCGUUAUAACCGGCGAUACCCGAAUGGGGAAACCCAGUGUGAUUCGUCACACUAUCAUUAACUGAAUCCAUAGGUUAAUGAGGCGAACCGGGGGAACUGAAACAUCUAAGUACCCCGAGGAAAAGAAAUCAACCGAGAUUCCCCCAGUAGCGGCGAGCGAACGGGGAGGAGCCCAGAGCCUGAAUCAGCAUGUGUGUUAGUGGAAGCGUCUGGAAAGGUGCGCGAUACAGGGUGACAGCCCCGUACACAAAAGCGCAUGUGCUGUGAGCUCGAUGAGUAGGGCGGGACACGUGGUAUCCUGUCUGAAUAUGGGGGGACCAUCCUCCAAGGCUAAAUACUCCUGACUGACCGAUAGUGAACCAGUACCGUGAGGGAAAGGCGAAAAGAACCCCGGCGAGGGGAGUGAAAAAGAACCUGAAACCGUGUACGUACAAGCAGUGGGAGCACCCUUCGGGGUGUGACUGCGUACCUUUUGUAUAAUGGGUCAGCGACUUAUAUUCUGUAGCAAGGUUAACCGUAUAGGGGAGCCGGAGGGAAACCGAGUCUUAACCGGGCGUUAAGUUGCAGGGUAUAGACCCGAAACCCGGUGAUCUAGCCAUGGGCAGGUUGAAGGUUGGGUAACACUAACUGGAGGACCGAACCGACUAAUGUUGAAAAAUUAGCGGAUGACCUGUGGCUGGGGGUGAAAGGCCAAUCAAACCGGGAGAUAGCUGGUUCUCCCCGAAAGCUAUUUAGGUAGCGCCUCGUGAAUUCAUCUCCGGGGGUAGAGCACUGUUUCGGCUAGGGGGCCAUCCCGGCUUACCAACCCGAUGCAAACUGCGAAUACCGGAGAAUGUUAUCACGGGAGACACACGGCGGGUGCUAACGUCCGUCGUGAAGAGGGAAACAACCCAGACCGCCAGCUAAGGUCCCAAAGUCAUGGUUAAGUGGGAAACGAUGUGGGAAGGCCCAGACAGCCAGGAUGUUGGCUUAGAAGCAGCCAUCAUUUAAAGAAAGCGUAAUAGCUCACUGGUCGAGUCGGCCUGCGCGGAAGAUGUAACGGGGCUAAACCAUGCACCGAAGCUGCGGCAGCGAACGUAUCACCCAAGACAACUUUACGGAGUUGACGAUUGACGGAGCGAAGCGACGUCAAAGCGUUCAUUAAAGUCGAGUUGGCUUAGGGAUACGUUCGUUGGGUAGGGGAGCGUUCUGUAAGCCUGUGAAGGUGUGUCGUGAGGCAUGCUGGAGGUAUCAGAAGUGCGAAUGCUGACAUAAGUAACGAUAAAGCGGGUGAAAAGCCCGCUCGCCGGAAGACCAAGGGUUCCUGUCCAACGUUAAUCGGGGCAGGGUGAGUCGACCCCUAAGGCGAGGCCGAAAGGCGUAGUCGAUGGGAAACGGGUUAAUAUUCCCGUACUUGGUGUUACUGCGAAGGGGGGACGGAGAAGGCUAUGUUGGCCGGGCGACGGUUGUCCCGGUUUAAGCGUGUAGGUGUGUGUUCCAGGUAAAUCCGGUUCACUUUAACACUGAGGCGUGACGACGAGGCACUACGGUGCUGAAGCAACAAAUGCCCUGCUUCCAGGAAAAGCCUCUAAGCAUCAGGUAACAC
rnacentral:rRNA from 1 species